rnacentral:misc_RNA from 1 species
UUUCCGUAGGUGAACCUACGGAAGGAUCAUUAAUGAGUUGUCAUGGGGUUCGAUGCUGGCAGCCAGUUUUUGGAUGCAUGUGCUUGCCCUAACAAUCAUCUUCUUCCAAACACCUGUGCACAUUUUUGAGGGAGUCUUGAGUUGGUUGCCGCUCUUGGGUGAUUUUCUCACAUUCCCUUAAAUCAUUAUACGCUAUUAACAAUGUUGAACGUGCUCUGUGCCGCAAGGCCAUUAAUAUAAUACAACUUUUAACAACGGAUCUCUUGGCUCUC